rnacentral:rRNA from 1 species
AGAGUUUGAUCAUGGCUCAGGACGAACGCUGGCGGCGUGCUUAACACAUGCAAGUGGAGCGACGAACCGGGCUUCGGCCCGGGGCAAAGCCGCGAACGGGUGAGUAUCACGUGGGUAACCUGCCCCGAUGACUGGGACAACCCGAGGAAACUCGGGCUAAUACCGGAUGUGCUCUCCGCGCUUCAGCGCGGACAGUAAAGGAAGCUUCGGCCUCCGCAUUGGGAUGGGCCCGCGGCCCAUUAGCUUGUUGGUGAGGUAACGGCUCACCAAGGCUGCGAUGGGUAGCUGGUCUGAGAGGACGAUCAGCCACACUGGGACUGAGACACGGCCCAGACUCCUACGGGAGGCAGCAGUGGGGAAUCUUGCGCAAUGCGCGAAAGCGUGACGCAGCAACGCCGCGUGAGGGAAGAAGGCCUUCGGGUUGUAAACCUCUUUCAGGAGGGACGAAGGUUCAGGCGCGAAUAGCGUCCUGGACUGACGGUACCUCCAGAAGAAGCCCCGGCUAACUACGUGCCAGCAGCCGCGGUAGUACGUAGGGGGCUAGCGUUGUCCGGAAUCAUUGGGCGUAAAGAGCGUGUAGGCGGCCCGGUAAGUCCGCUGUGAAAGUCAAAGGCUCAACCUUUGAAUGUCAGCGGAUACUGCCGGGCUAGAGUCCGGAAGAGGCGAGUGGAACUCCUGGUGUAGCGGUGGAAUGCGCAGAUAUCAGGAAGAACACCAACGGCGAAGGCAGCUCGCUGGGACGGUACUGACGCUGAGACGCGAAAGCGUGGGGAGCGAACAGGAUUAGAUACCCUCGUAGUCC